rnacentral:tRNA from 1 species
GGACAAGUAGCUCAAUUGGAUAGAGCAACGGUCUUCUAAACCGUAGGUUCUGGGUUCGAGUCCCAGCUUGUCUGCCA